GCUUACACAUGCAAGUCGAGGGGUAGGGCACCUUCGGUGCCUUGAGACCGGCGCACGGGUGCGUAACGCGUAUGCAAUCUGCCUUCCACAGAGGGAUAGCCCAGAGAAAUUUGGAUUAAUACCUCAUAGCAUCAUGACCCGGCAUCGGGAUAUGAUUAAAGUCACAACGGUGGAAGAUGAGCAUGCGUCCCAUUAGCUAGUUGGUAAGGUAACGGCUUACCAAGGCUACGAUGGGUAGGGGUCCUGAGAGGGAGAUCCCCCACACUGGUACUGAGACACGGACCAGACUCCUACGGGAGGCAGCAGUGAGGAAUAUUGGUCAAUGGGCGCAAGCCUGAACCAGCCAUGCCGCGUGCAGGAUGACGGUCCUAUGGAUUGUAAACUGCUUUUGUACGGGAAGAAACCCUCCUACGUGUAGGAGCUUGACGGUACCGUAAGAAUAAGGAUCGGCUAACUCCGUGCCAGCAGCCGCGGUAAUACGGAGGAUCCAAGCGUUAUCCGGAAUCAUUGGGUUUAAAGGGUCUGUAGGCGGUCUUGUAAGUCAGUGGUGAAAGCCCAUCGCUCAACGGUGGAACGGCCAUUGAUACUGCUGGACUUGAAUUAUUGGGAAGCAACUAGAAUAUGUAGUGUAGCGGUGAAAUGCUUAGAGAUUACAUGGAAUACCAAUUGCGAAGGCAGGUUGCUACCAAUGGAUUGACGCUGAUGGACGAAAGCGUGGGUAGCGAACAGGAUUAGAUACCCUGGUAGUCCACGCCGUAAACGAUGGAUACUAGCUGUUGGGCGCAAGUUCAGUGGCUAAGCGAAAGUGAUAAGUAUCCCACCUGGGGAGUACGAACGCAAGUUUGAAACUCAAAGGAAUUGACGGGGGCCCGCACAAGCGGUGGAGCAUGUGGUUUAAUUCGAUGAUACGCGAGGAACCUUACCAAGGCUUAAAUGCAGACUGACCGGUUUGGAAACAGACCUUUCGCAAGACGGUCUAC
rnacentral:rRNA from 1 species